rnacentral:rRNA from 1 species
CAAGUCGAACGCGAAAGUGGAGCAAUCCAUGAGUAGAGUGGCAAACGGGUGAGUAACGCGUGGGUGACCUGCCUUCGAGCGGGGGAUAACGUUCCGAAAGGGACGCNAAUACCGCAUGACAUCCUGCCUUUGAAGAGGCGGAGAUCGAAGCUGGGGAUCGCAAGACCUAGCACUCGACGAGGGGCCCGCGUCUGAUUAGCUAGUUGGUGGGGUAACGGCUCACCAAGGCAACGAUCAGUAUCCGGCCUGAGAGGGCGGACGGACACACUGGGACUGAGACACGGCCCAGACUCCUACGGGAGGCAGCAGUGGGGAAUUGUUCGCAAUGGGCGCAAGCCUGACGACGCAACGCCGCGUGGAGGAUGAAGAUCUUCGGGUCGUAAACUCCUUUCGAUCGAGACGAACGGCCUCCGGGUAAACAAUCCGGAGGAGUGACGGUACCGAGAGAAGAAGCCCCGGCUAACUCCGUGCCAGCAGCCGCGGUAAUACGGGGGGGGCAAGCGUUGUUCGGAAUUACUGGGCGUAAAGGGCUCGUAGGCGGCCAACUAAGUCAGACGUGAAAUCCCUCGGCUUAACCGGGGAACUGCGUCUGAUACUGGAUGGCUCGAGUUUGGGAGAGGGAUGCGGAAUUCCAGGUGUAGCGGUGAAAUGCGUAGAUAUCUGGAGGAACACCGGUGGCGAAGGCGGCAUCCUGGACCAACACUGACGCUGAGUGAGCGAAAGCCAGGGGAGCAAACGGGAUUAGAUACCCCGGUAGUCCUGGCCCUAAACGAUGAAAUGCUUGGUGUGGCGGGUAUCGAUCCCUGCCGUGCCCGAAGCUAACGCAUU